GCGUUCCUACGGGGCGCAGCAGUGGGGAAUAUUGGACAAUGGGGGGAACCCUGAUCCAGCGACGCCGCGUGAGUGAAGAAGUAUUUCGGUAUGUAAAGCUCUAUCAGCAGGGAAGAAAGAAAUGACGGUACCUGACUAAGAAGCCCCGGCUAACUACGUGCCAGCAGCCGCGGUAAUACGUAGGGGGCAAGCGUUAUCCGGAUUUACUGGGUGUAAAGGGAGCGUAGACGGCAAUGCAAGUCUGGAGUGAAAGGCGGGGGCCCAACCCCCGGACUGCUCUGGAAACUGUAUAGCUGGAGUGCAGG
rnacentral:rRNA from 1 species